CCAGUUCCUUACUUCUAACUGAUGGUGAACUGUGAGCCACUUUGCCCAGCCCUGGAAAUACUCAGUGAAGCCUUGACAGAAACUCUGAGGUGGUGCCUGGUUUUUCCAGAUACCUUCUCUUCUUGACAAGCCAGUUCUGUUCUGGAUGCCUGGGAUGGGUGAAGCGGCCACCACCAUGUGGAGCAGCUGGGACUCACCUGGUGGAUGGAAUCAUUCAUGGUCUCACCUUCUGAUCCACUGAGAGCCCAUCGGCAAGUGACUUCCUACCAUGGACCUCUCUUCUCAUCUGUAAGAUAUCAAUGGGAGUAGAGCCCAGACAGCUGUGAACAGACAACCACAACAGGAAGUGAAGCUGACAUUGCCAAGGGCAGACAGCUGCAGAAGUAAACCUACUCUUGGAUGACACUGAGGAGCAACUGAGUCCAGCCCACCCUGAAAACAACUCUACCUUUAGCAUUCAGUCAUACAUCGACGUGCCAAGUUCCAUGUUGGACUUUGUGGCUACAAAGAGGGGGAUGACACUAGCCCUGCCCUCAGGGAGCUCCUGGUCCAGGAAGAGCAUCUGCCUUGCUGAUAGACAUGGACACAUAACCAGAGCUGAGAUGUGUUUUGGCAGCAACCUGACUGAACUUCUGGUGGUUGGAUGGGUCUUCUGGAGCAAAGUGCCCUCAAGCCAUCAACUGCAGAGCCACAAUUAAUGUAUGAAGCCCACCACGGGGAGGCCCCACUACUUCUGUUUCCUGAUGUCCCUGACUAGGAUGGCUUGACUUCUUGCUGAAACCACUGAAGAUGAACCAAGUAAAUGGAUGGGUUUCCUAACCUGCGAAAUGCAGGAAGAGCAAGCUGGGGUCUGUCCUGUUUACUUCUCUAUCCUCAGUACCGAGCCCCAUCCCUGGUACAAUGUAGACAUUCAAUAAA